rnacentral:misc_RNA from 1 species
CAACCAUCAAGCGCCUGCGCUUGUGUUGGAGCCCUGCGGCUGCCGCAGGCUCCCAAAUACAGUGGCGGGCUCGUCGUCGUACCGAGUGCAGUAAACAUCCUCGCUCAGGGCACGCGUCGGGUACCGGCCGUAAAACCCCCCAACUUUUCAA